rnacentral:rRNA from 1 species
GACGAACGCUGGCGGCGUGCUUAACACAUGCAAGUCGAACGGAGAUUAUUAAUGAAGCUUGCGAUUUAAUAAUCUUAGUGGCGGACGGGUGAGUAACGCGUGGGCAACCUACCCAUAAGCGGGGGAUAACAGUUGGAAACGACUGCUAAUACCGCAUAAGCUAUUAAGGUCACAUGACCUUAAUAGUAAAGGUGGCGAUUUUACAUUGCUAUCACUUAUGGAUGGGCCCGCGUCUGAUUAGCUAGUUGGUGGGAUAGCAGCCUACCAAGGCAACGAUCAGUAGCCGGCCUGAGAGGGUGGACGGCCACACUGGGACUGAGACACGGCCCAGACUCCUACGGGAGGCAGCAGUGGGGAAUAUUGCGCAAUGGGGAACCGUGACGCAGCGACGCCGCGUGAGCGAAGAAGGCCUAGGUCGUAAGCUCUGUUGUAGGGACGAAUGUUAUCUAAGGCGAACAGUCAGAUAAAGUAGACGGUACCGUUACCUACGCAAGCCCCGGCCGUAACC